GUUGUGAAGAUGCUGUGGUUGGGCAAGUCAGCUGAGAGGGCUUCGGGAGACAAGAUCUCGUGGCCAGUUAAGUGUUACAGGGUGACCAGCAGCAGCAGCUAAAUCACGCCUGAGGCUAAGAGUCUCACAGAGCGUUUAAAUCAGAGAAGAUAAUCCCGUUCCCAGAUCUCUGACCAUCCCACGGGAAGGGCUGGUCCUGCUGAUUUCACCUGCCGGGCCUCCUGGGUGAACCUGGAAAGCACUGAGCUCGCGGGAGCAUCUCACAGCUGCAGUCAACUUCAGCAAACAUGCAUAUAUGUUUCUCAUUUCCAGAUUUUAAUUUGUCUCUGUGUCUUGGGAUGUUGCAGGGAUUUCAUUUUUGUCAGCCGUUUUUCCUUCUUUGUAUUUAAAUAUAAA